ACUCAAAUAGCUUAAGUUUAAAGUAAAGUAUUGAAGAUACUUGGAUAAGAAUAAUUCUUUUUGAGUA
rnacentral:tRNA from 1 species